rnacentral:lncRNA from 10 species
CUGCACUUCAGGAUUGUAUCACCCAGUCCUAAUGGCAGCCUCUCAGGAGACCAGUUCCCACCCCAUGCUGGAGAGUGUUUUCAUCCAAAUCUGGAAGAGUGGCUGACUCUGAAUUUGUUAAAUAAAUGAACUAGCAAGUAAAACCUCCGAAAUCUCAACAUCUGCCCUGGGGGAAAAGCUUAUGCUUUGCAAGGUGCAAACAGACUGUUCGAUGAGAUUGGAAAACUAGAAGCUAUUAUGCAAGUUGGAGAAAUACCAGAAGAACCUUUUAAAUGGAAAACAGGGACCAAGAGAGAUUGUAUAGAGGAGAACGUGAGAGGAAGAAACACAGGAGUGGUUGUGGAUCUGUGAGGGGAUGAGGGAAACUGUCUUAGGAGAUCCAGUGAUAAAUCCAUAGCUCUCUGUUCUAAGCACAUUAAGUGUGUGAA